rnacentral:rRNA from 1 species
GAUGAACGCUGACAGAAUGCUUAACACAUGCAAGUAAACUGUGGCGGAAGGGGGAGUAACGCGAAAAGAACUUGCAUCACAGCUAGGGAAAACAUUUGGAAACGAAUGCUAAUACAUGAUACUGUGAGAGAGCUUUGCGUCCCAUUAGCUAGUUGGAGAGGGAACGGCGCACCAAGGCGAUGAUGGGUAGCCGGCCUGAGAGGGUGAUCGGCCACAAGGGGACUGAGACACUGCCCUUACUCCUACGGGAUGCAGCAGUGGGGAAGAUCGGACAAUGGACCAAAGUCUGAUCCAGCAAUUCUGUGUGCACGAUGAAGUUUUCGGAAUGUAAAGUGCUUUCAGUUGGGUAGCGGGACCAACAGAAGAAGUGACGGCUAAAUACGUGCCAGCAGCCGCGGUAAUAC